AACGAACGCUGGCGGCAGGCUUAACACAUGCAAGUCGAACGCCCCGCAAGGGGAGUGACAGACGGGUGAGUAACGCGUGGGAAUCUACCCAGAUCUACGGAACAACAGAGGGAAACUUCUGCUAAUACCGUAUACGCCCUACGGGGGAAAGAUUUAUCGGAUUUGGAUGAGCCCGCGUAAGAUUAGCUAGUUGGUGGGGUAAUGGCCUACCAAGGCGACGAUCUUUAGCUGGUCUGAGAGGAUGAUCAGCCACACUGGGACUGAGACACGGCCCAGACUCCUACGGGAGGCAGCAGUGGGGAAUAUUGGACAAUGGGCGCAAGCCUGAUCCAGCCAUGCCGCGUGAGUGAUGAAGGCCUUAGGGUUGUAAAGCUCUUUCACCGAUGAAGAUAAUGACGGUAGUCGGAGAAGAAGCCCCGGCUAACUUCGUGCCAGCAGCCGCGGUAAAAC
rnacentral:rRNA from 1 species